UCGCCCGAGUACUACGAGCAACAGCUUAAAACUCAAAGGACUUGGCGGUGCUUUAUAUCCACCUAGAGGAGCCUGUUCUAUAAUCGAUACUCCACGAUAAACCUCACCAUCUUUUGCUAACAGCCUAUAUACCACCGUCCUAGCUCACCCUUCAAAGGAAAAAUAGUGAGCAAAAUAAUAAACAUUAAAAAGACAGGUCAAGGUGUAGCCUAUAAGAUGGGAAGAAAUGGGCUACAUUUUUUUACCAAAAAAUACAAAUGAAAGAAUGAAAAAUAUUCUGAAGGCGGAUUUAGCAGUAAAAAGAAAUUAUUAUGUUCUUUUUAAUUAGGCAAUAAAGCGCGC
rnacentral:rRNA from 1 species